AUUUAUAUAGUUUAAUAAAAACAUUACAUUUUCACUGUAAAAUUGAAAUUUCUUUUCUUUA
rnacentral:tRNA from 1 species